ACCUGCAGCCAAAACUUUAUUCAAAAAUCAAUUGUCGAUCUCCAUCACGCAAAAAACGACGUCGUUAGGAAAAUAUGUCCUGGCUUGCUCGUUCCAUUGCCAAUUCUCUCCGCCUCGAUGACGACGGAGAUUUGGCGGCGGCGGCGGAGGAGGAGGAAAGGACCCCGGACGACGUCGUUCCACGACCCACCGCAAACGACGCCGCCGCGUCGCCGGAAGAUCUGCCGCGAGACGACAACAGCACGCUCUCUGCCGAAGAUCGUCGGUCGUCGUCGGAGGAUAGUGAUGGCGAUUUAGGUUACAAUCGUGGCGGCGAUGAUGGAGAUCUCGACGGUGAUGACAAUCAAGGGCGUGGGGUGAAGGAGGAUUUAUCUGAAUUCAGAGACAGCCUCACGCGCCAACUUUGGGGCGUUGCUUCUUUCCUCGCUCCUCCUCCGCCGCCGCCGCCGCCACCGCCGCUCCCGUUCAGUCAGAAAUCGGCUUCGUUGCCCUCGGAAAAAUUAUCCGGUGGGGCCGGGUCGCCCAAUGAUGACGAGGAGGAGAAUGAAGAAUUGGUGGAGUAUGAAGAGGGAGAGUCUGGUCAAUUUGAGGAGCCUGCAUAUGAGGAUUAUUACACAAAUUUAAUCGAGGACGCAAUUGGAAUUACGGAGGAAGUUUUGGCCUUCGCAAGGAAUAUUGCACAUCAUCCCGAAACCUGGUUGGAUUUCCCUUUAUCAGAGGAAGAGGAAUUUGAUGAUUUCGAUAUAUCUGAUUCCCAGUACAAGCAUGCGAUGGCUGUUGAACAUCUAGCACCAAGGUUAGCCGCUCUUAGAAUUGAACUUUGCCCAGUUCAUAUGAGUGAGUGCUACUUUUGGAUGGUCUAUUUUGUCCUUCUGCAUUCAAGGUUAAAUAAACACGAUGCCGACCUCUUGUCUUCGCCGCAGAUUGUGGAAGCAAGGGCUAUGUGGAUGCAUGAGCUACAAAAACAGAAUAAGGAGUCAUCGUACUGGUUAGGAAUGAAUACUUUUUACUCCAAAGAAAGCGGAUAUUCACCACGAGAGAACACGCAUUCUCACGAAGACUCCCGUUUUGGAAGUGCGUCGCACCAAACGGCAGCUGUAUACGAGAUCGAUAAGCACUCGUGUAACGAAGUUGAGUUUGUUGACAAGUCGGUUAUCAAGGAAGACCCAUCGCCCAAUUUCCACGAGAAGGAAAUUAUCGUUGUUUCUUCUUCUUCUUCUUCUUCUUCUUCUUCUUCUUCGUCUUCUUCUUCUUCCAUUGAAACACCUAUGCAAGAAAAUAAUAAUGAUAACAAAGAUGAAGAUGACGAUGAAGAUGACUGGCUAAAGGAAGAUUCGGAUUUAGUCGGUUAUUGCAGCACCACAAUUAUAGAAAACGAAGAAGAUAUAUCGUUUAGUGAUCUUGAGGAUGAUUCAGAUUGCACAGUGCCCAUUAAAUACAAAUUAGCCUCAACCGAAGGAAAUACAACCGCCAAAACUUCAUCGUGAGUUUCAUGUCGUUUUUCUGCCAGGGGGGGGAAGAAUUACUCUACGGACUGGUCCGUGGAAUGGACUAUGUGCCAGCAGCCCGUCUUAGAUUUGCCAGAUUUACUAUUGAAGCCCAGAAAAGCCAUUGUGGAGGAACACUUUUUGUUCCUCGUCUUUUUAUUUUUUUCCCCUUUCGGUUUUUUGCUAUAGCUUUGAGCCAAUAACUUGGCUUAGCUGUGCAAAUAUCUCCCUAUCAUUGUUAGUGAUUUCUUACUACAUUGGUUUUUUUUAUUUUGAUGUUGUGAGGUCACAGCUUCAUCUUCACUAGGGAGGAAAAAGCUGAAAUGUAAUACUUUUAAUGUAUAUAUGACAAGAAAAUAUGAAAUAUCAUGUUGUUUGUUGAUUCAGUUUGUAUAUGUAUAUAUAUAGUGAA